rnacentral:pre_miRNA from 9 species
UCUCGAUAGCGUAAAAGUUAACUAAAAUUUGUAUGGAGUUGGAACGUUUGCUGCCAGGGACGCUGUUCCAACUGCAUACAAAUUUGAGUUAACUUUUAGCUAUCGA